rnacentral:rRNA from 1 species
AUUGAACGCUGGCGGCAGGCCUAACACAUGCAAGUCGAGCGGAUGAGAGGAGCUUGCUUCUCGAUUCAGCGGCGGACGGGUGAGUAAUGCCUAGGAAUCUGCCUGGUAGUGGGGGACAACGUUUCGAAAGGAACGCUAAUACCGCAUACGUCCUACGGGAGAAAGCAGGGGACCUUCGGGCCUUGCGCUAUCAGAUGAGCCUAGGUGGGAGUAGCUAGUUGGUGAGGUAAUGGCUCACCAAGGCGACGAUCCGUAACUGGUCUGAGAGGGUGAUAAGUCACACUGGGACAGAUACACGGUCCAGACUCCUACGGGAGGCAGCAGUGGGGAAUAUUGGACAAUGGGCGAAAGCCUGAUCCAGCCAUGCCGCGUGUGUGAAGAAGGUCUUCGGAUUGUAAAGCACUUUAAGUUGGGAGGAAGGGUUGUAGAUUAAUACUCUGCAAUUUUGACGUUACCGACAGAAUAAGCACCGGCUAACUCUGUGCCAGCCGCCGCCGCAGUAA